CCGGCGCACGGGUGAGUAACACGUAUCCAACCUGCCGAUGACUCGGGGAUAGCCUUUCGAAAGAAAGAUUAAUACCCGAUGGCAUAGUUCUUCCGCAUGGUAGAACUAUUAAAGAAUUUCGGUCAUCGAUGGGGAUGCGUUCCAUUAGCUUGUUGGCGGGGUAACGGCCCACCAAGGCAUCGAUGGAUAGGGGUUCUGAGAGGAAGGUCCCCCACAUUGGAACUGAGACACGGUCCAAACUCCUACGGAAGGCAGCAG
rnacentral:rRNA from 1 species